AAGUCGUAACAAGGUUUCCGUAGGUGAACCUGCGGAAGGAUCAUUAAUAAAAAAUAAAUUUUAUAAAUUAUAUGUAUAUAUUUUAUAUAUGCAUAUAAAAUUUAUAAUUUAACAUAAGAACUUUUUUUUUUAUAAAAAAUUAUUAGGAAUAUAUCAGAAUGAUAAAAAGUUUUGAUAUAUUUUUUAUAUAUAUAAUUUAAAUAUUUAUUAUUAUAAAUUUAAACUUUAUUAUUAAUUUUAAUUAAAUAUAACUUUUAACAAUGGAUCUCUUGGCUCUU
rnacentral:misc_RNA from 1 species